rnacentral:tRNA from 1 species
GGCGAGAUAGCUCAGUUGGUAGAGCACACGACUGAAAAUCGUGGUGUCCCCGGUUCAAGUCAGGGUCUCGCCA